UCUCCAUUUCACACGCUCUCUCGCCGGUAAGAGUGACGAGAUAGUGUGUGAAAUGAGAGAGA
rnacentral:pre_miRNA from 1 species